rnacentral:rRNA from 1 species
GACGAACCGUGCGAACGUUAUUCGGAAUCACUGGGCUUAAAGCGCGUGUAGGCGGCCCGGCACGUCCGUCGCUGAAAUCCCCCGGCUCAACCGGGGAAGUGGCGUGGAUACGACCGGGCUGGAGGGGGGUAGGGGGAGCCGGAACGUUCCGGUGGAGCGGUGAAAUGCGCAGAGAUCCGGAAGAACACCGGUGGCGAAGGCGGCCUGCUGGGCUAUGGCUGACACUGAGGCGCGACAGCGUGGGGAGCAAACAGG